UGCAAAUGAUGUCUUACUCACGAUGGUCUUCCAAGUCUCAGAAGAGGCUCUGACGAUGGUGCCGAAUGGCUUUGCUGAUGCUUAUAC